GCCUGCGGCUUUAUCACUUUAAGUGCCUGGAGCAUUUCUUGCUUUGUCUUACAUACUUGAAGAAGCCAAUAAGUGGUGAAGACUGUUAUCCUGAGUUUUUGGGUGGUACAAUUUUUUUCCUCUGUAAUUAAGCAAGUGACCUAACAUUUUCUUGUGGCUGGACUGAACCAAUAUCUAAACAACUAUAUUCAUAUUUUGCCUAUUACUUAAAGUCUCUAAUAUGCGGUUUUAUCAGAAUUGCAGCACACUUGAGGAUUGCCUCUGUCCCCUUGGGGUACCUUCGAGGUUUGCCUCUGUCCUGUGCUGAAUAACAUUUAGUUACAAAUGGAUCACAAGAUUAUUCACUAGAUUGCAACAAUUAACAAACAGGAAGCAGCUCUAUUUUUGGGGCCCCUUACACAAUUUAAGGUCUGGGUCCCCAGGGCCUGACCGUGAGUAUGCCUAUAAGGCCAGCCCAUAAGUCCACCGACAUGGCCCACCCAUGACUUCGCUCACAGAGAGUGGAGUAUAUAUUUGUAGGAGAUGUGUUAUGUGUUAUUGUAGAGGAUGUAAUGUGUGUGUGUUCUUAUGGAAUGUAGUCUAUAGGGAUACCAAUUUUUGUAAGGGAUAUAGUGUGUGUAUAGGGCAUGCAGUGUUUGUUUCUGGGUAUAUGUGUGUAAGGAAUGCAGGCUGUAAUAUAACACAGUGUGCGUCUGUAAGGGGUGCA